UACAGAGGGUGCGAGCGUUGUCCGGAAUCACUGGGCGUAAAGGGCGCGUAGGUGGCGAUCCAAGUCCAUGGUGAAAGCUCGAUGCUCAACAUCGAGUCGGCCACGGAUACUGGGUUGCUUGAGCACUGUAGGGGCAGAUGGAAUUCCGGGUGUAGCGGUGGAAUGCGUAGAGAUCCGGAAGAACACCAGUGGCGAAGGCGGCUCACUGGCCCGAUACUGACGCUGAGGCACGAAAGCGUGGGGAGCAAACAGGG
rnacentral:rRNA from 1 species